rnacentral:lncRNA from 1 species
UGCUGAAGCCAUCUCCGACUGCCAAAAAAGGUAACAAAAAUUUCAUUUGCUCGAAAUUUAAUUUUGAAAAUACCCAUGGCCUAAUCGGAGUAAAAAGAUCGGCGGAUAAGCCAAAAAUUGCGGGUAAAGUCCGGCGGCACAACCGUGGGAAAAAUUAAAAAUCGCAUAUGAUGAGACCCUUCCUGAUUCCCAUUUCGUACAAUUUUUCUACUAUUAUAAUCACCAUUCCUUUUUCUAUAGGUUGACCAAAACAAAA